rnacentral:rRNA from 1 species
AGAGUUUGAUUAUGGCUCAGGAUGAACGCUGGCGGCGUGCUUAACACAUGCAAGUCGAACGGGAAACCUUUUAUUGAAGCUUCGGCAGAUUUAGCUGGUUUCUAGUGGCGGACGGGUGAGUAACGCGUGGGUAACCUGCCUUAUACAGGGGGAUAACAGUCAGAAAUGGCUGCUAAUACCGCAUAAGCGCACAGAGCUGCAUGGCUCAGUGUGAAAAACUCCGGUGGUAUAAGAUGGACCCGCGUUGGAUUAGCUUGUUGGUGGGGUAACGGCCCACCAAGGCGACGAUCCAUAGCCGGCCUGAGAGGGUGAACGGCCACAUUGGGACUGAGACACGGCCCAG